rnacentral:rRNA from 1 species
GAUUUCUGGUUCGAUGCGUUUGGCCCUCUCGGAGCAAUCCGGCGUGCGUGCCGAUGCGCGUCUGCCAUCCCUUGUAGAGAACGUUUCUACCCUUCACUGGGCCGGAUUCGCAAUCUACAUCUUUUACUUUGAAAAAAUUAGAGUGUUUAAAGCAGGUGUUGCGCCUUGAAUACAUUAGCAUGGAAUAAUAAUUUAGGACUUCUGCCUAUUUUAUUGGUUUCUAGGUUUGGAGUAAUGAUUGAUAGGGAUAGUUGGGGGUGCUAGUAUUCAUCGGCCAGAGGUGAAAUUCUUGGAUUCGAUGAAGACUAACUAAUGCGAAAGCAUU